GCUGGGCAUGUUGUCAUCCACCUGUAAUUCUUGCUUCAGGGGAGUCUGAGGCUGGUGGAUUGUUUGAGGUCGGGAGUUCUGAGGUGCAGUAGGACUGAAGUUGACUGGAUAUCUGCGCUAAGUCCAAUAUGAUGAGCCCUUAGGAGUGGGGGGCCACCAGGCUGCCUUAGGAGGGCUGACCCAGCACAGGUUAGAAAAGGAGCAGGUCAGAACUCCUAGAAUGAUCAGUAGUGGGGUUGGGCCUGAGUGUCUGCUAUUCACCAGCAUAGGUGAUAGAGACUUAGUCUUUA
ensembl:misc_RNA Metazoa_SRP Metazoan signal recognition particle RNA